rnacentral:rRNA from 1 species
AUUGAACGCUGGCGGCAUGCUUUACACAUGCAGGUCGAACGGUAACAGGGAGCUUGCUCCGCUGACGAGUGGCGAACGGGUGAGUAAUGCGUCGGAACGUGCCGAGUAGUGGGGGAUAACGCAUCGAAAGGUGUGCUAAUACCGCAUACGUACUGAGGUAGAAAGUGGGGGACCUUCGGGCCUCACGCUAUUCGAGCGGCCGACGUCUGAUUAGCUAGUUGGUGAGGUAAAGGCUCACCAAGGCGACGAUCAGUAGCGGGUGUGAGAGGAUGAGCCACCACACUGGGACUGAGACACGGCCCAGACUCCUACGGGGGGCAGCAGUGGGAAAUUUUGGACAAUGGGCGCAAGCCUGAUCCAGCCAUGCCGCGUGUCUGAAGAAGGCCUUCGGGUUGUAAAGGACUUUUGUCCGGGAGCAAAUGCCUGGUGUUAAUAGCACUGGGAGCUGAGAGUACCGGAAGAAUUAGCACCGGCUAACUACGUGCCAGCAGCCGCCGUAACAC